UACGUAGGGUGCAAGCGUUGUCCGGAAUUAUUGGGCGUAAAGAGCUCGUAGGCGGUUCGUCGCGUCGGCUGUGAAAUCCCGAGGCUCAACCUCGGGUCUGCAGUCGAUACGGGCGGACUGGAGUUCGGCAGGGGAGACUGGAAUUCCUGGUGUAGCGGUGAAAUGCGCAGAUAUCAGGAGGAACACCGGUGGCGAAGGCGGGUCUCUGGGCCGACACUGACGCUGAGGAGCGAAAGCGUGGGGAGCGAACAGG
rnacentral:rRNA from 1 species